CCACUACCUGCAACCCAUAAAAGAAAAGAAAAAAAAAAACUCAUCUCUCUUUCCCUGCAACCCAAAUCCCGUCUUCUCCAAUGAGUGUGGAUUUAAGGAGUGAGGUGUGUAGAGGAGGGAAGUGGAUGUGUGUGAGGGUGGGUGCGCUGGGUUUUUUUUUUCUUCUUCUUUCUGGGUUGCAGGUUAGGGUAGCGGAAGAUGGGUGCGUGGAGGAGGUAGAGCUGGGUGCAAAGAGGAGGUUGAGGAUGGGUGUGGACCGUCGAACUUCGCCAGUUAUGCGAUCUGGUUUUUUUUGUUAGAGGGGAGGAAUAAUGGGAUCUGGGGUUUUUUUAAUGGGAACUGAGACUUAUCCCAGAAAAUCACAUACUUUGAAUUGGUUAUUUCCCAAGGGGUUUUCAUCCCAAAUCCAACCAAAAUCACAAGGAGAGUAACAGAAAGUUACCUACAUGUAAAACUGAACAAAACAAAGUUGAUCCAUCUCGAACUUAAAAGAACUUGGCCGAAAAACCUCACCAAUUUCUGGAAACGAAAACCAGAACCUACAUCACUUUAAUUCCUUUGAAUUAGACCUCAAAAGUCUCACAAGAAGUCUAGAAUUUCACCUAGGUUUUAAAGUUGGUCACUGAUGGGUUGUUUUCACCUUGGGCACGCCGGAAAGUGACCAAAUAUGGUCAUUGGAUUCUGGAGAGAAGUUGACAGUGAAGAAACAGGGGUUUUAGCCCUUAAAUUUGAAAUCGAAUUCGACAUGUAAGGCAUGAAGACCAUACAUGGGUCAAAUAGAAGUCAACUCAAGUUCGUAGAACCUCGAAUUCAUCAAGUUUAGACUUGGAUUUCGCCGAAGAUUGGCCGAAGAAAGAUCACCAGAUUUCUUUGCUGGAGAUGGAAAGAAAGUAAUUCUAGAUUAGCAGGAAAUGGACGAAAGAACCCACUUGAAUUCAAAAUGGUGGCGUUUAAGCUGUCGGGGUCGAGGGUUGAUUGUCAUCCCAAUUGCAAAUUGUACAUGCAAGAGCAUGAAUGAAAUCCUCAGGCCUUCUUGAUUCUAAUGAUGGUGGCUUUGAGUAGAGACUUGGCCAAGAGGAGUGAUGAUUGUGAGUGAAGGAGUCCGAAACUUAGAGAGAGAGAGUUGUAAAGUCAA
rnacentral:lncRNA from 1 species